UGUUUCGGACCUUUGCCUCUCCCGAGUCCGUAGGGGAGUUGCAGCGAUGGGGCAAUUGGAUACCACCAAAUUGGGGAGAAAAAGUGGUAAAAAAUAUAAAAUAAUCUGAGUCAGAAAAGGUUGGUGACCACUGUUCUAGAUGGUAUGGUUACUACAGACAUAUGAUCUACUAUACCAUUUCUCUAGACUAGUAGCUCGGGAGACAGACACUGGCAAAUGACAUCGACACAUUCACUAUAAGACAAUGGUUGGGAUGCAGACGUAUUUUCUACCAUAGACACAUUGUCUAUGACUCAGUAGCUAGGGAGACAGAAGACAUUGUGUUUGAUGGAAGCAUUCUCUGUGGAACAAUGUUAUAGGACAGACACAUUCAAUAUGAGACAAUAGAUUGGAUACUGACACAAUGGUAAGGUAAAAUGCCUGUUGAGAGAGACAGUGGUUUUAAGUGACUGAGACAGUUGGAUUGAGUGAGAGGCUGUGAGCACGGCGCGUGUGUGAAACACUUCAUCAAAUUGUCCAUUUGAAAAAGCAGGGUGCAGUAGAGAUAUGUUUCAUUGAACCACCGUGUCUCUCUCUCUCACGAGCCACGCACGCACGCGCACGCACGCACGCACGCACUCACUCACUCACUCACUCACUCACUCACUCACUCACUCACUCACUCACUCACUCACUCACUCACUCACUCACUCACACACUCACACACACACACACACACACACACACACACACACACACACACACACACCUCGUUCUAGUGUAAUUUAUUGGUAACUACUCUUCCGUCUGCUCUCCCUCUUCUCCCUCUGGCCCUGAGAUCCUCCAUCCUUUCUCCCUCUGCCACUCCUUUUACGUCAGCAUAACCCUCACCCCUCUCACCUACAUGUGAGUCAGAGAGACAGGUAUGCAUACAUGUGAGUCAGAGAGACAGGUAUGCAUACAUGUGAGUCAGAGAGACAGGUAGGCAUACAUGUGAGUCAGAGAGACAGGUAUGCAUACAUGUGAGUCAGAGAGACAGGUAGACAUACAUGUGAGUCAGAGAGACAGGUAUGCAUACAUGUGAGUCAGAGAGACAGGUAUGCAUACAUGUGAGUCAGAGAGACAGGUAGACAUACAUGUGAGUCAGAGAGACAGGUAUGCAUACAUGUGAGUCAGAGAGACAGGUAGGCAUACAUGUGAGUCAGAGAGACAGGUAGGCAUACAUGUGAGUCAGAGAGACAGGUAGGCAUACAUGUGAGUCAGAGAGACAGGUAGACAUACAUGUGAGUCAGAGAGACAGGUAGGCAUACAUGUGAGUCAGAGAGACAGGUAGGCAUACAUGUGAGUCAGAGAGACAGGUAGGCAUACAUGUGAGUCAGAGAGACAGGUAGACAUACAUGUGAGUCAGAGAGACAGGUAGGCAUACAUGUGAGUCAGAGAGACAGGUAGGCAUACAUGUGAGUCAGAGAGACAGGUAGGCAUACAUGUGAGUCAGAGAGACAGGUAGGCAUACAUGUGAGUCAGAGAGACAGGUAGGCAUACAUGUGAGUCAGAGAGACAGGUAGGCAUACAUGUGAGUCAGAGAGACAGGUAUGCAUACAUGUGAGUCAGAGAGACAGGUAGGCAUACAUGUGAGUCAGAGAGACAGGUAUGCAUACAUGUGAGUCAGAGAGACAGGUAGGCAUACAUGUGAGUCAGAGAGACAGGUAUGCAUACAUGUGAGUCAGAGAGACAGGUAGGCAUACAUGUGAGUCAGAGAGACAGGUAUGCAUACAUGUGAGUCAGAGAGACAGGUAUGCAUACAUGUG